AAACUAAUUUAACCUGGCGGCAUUUCAUCUACUUAGAGGAAUUUGUCCUUUAAUCGAUAAUCCACGUUAAAUUUCACUUUAGUUCCAAAACUUAUAUACCGCCAUCUUAAGAAUUAAUUCAAAAAUAUUCCUCUUAAUAAAUAAUAAAAAGUUAGGUCAAGGUGUAAUCAAUAUUAAAGUAUGAGAUGAUUUACAUUAAAAAAUAUUUAAAGAUUAUUAAUAAAUAUACAAAUAUAAAUAAGGAUUUAAAAGUAAUAUCUAUAUAACAAUAAUAAUAUAUGAUAAAGAUAAUAAAUGUGUACACAUCGCCC
rnacentral:rRNA from 1 species